ACAAGGAUUCCUCUAGUAACGGCGAGCGAACGAGGAAAAGCCCAGCACCGAAUCCUGUAUCGUUUUGAUACUAGGAAAUGUGGUGUUUAGGCCGUGCUUUGUGCCGGUAUGACUCUCCUCAAGUCCACUUGAUUGUGGCUUCAGGCCCAGAGAGGGUGUAAGGCCCGUGGAGGCGAGUCGUCCGGUGCCCGGCACGUCCUUCGAGUCGGGUUGUUUGGGAAUGCAGCCCAAAGCGGGUGGUAAACUCCAUCCAAGGCUAAAUACUAGCACGAGUCCGAUAGCGAAGAAGUACCGCGAGGGAAAGUUGAAAAGAACUUUGAAGAGAGAGUUCAAGAGUACGUGAAACCGCUGAGAGGCAAACUGGUGGAGCUGAAAUGGUCUUGAGGAAUUCAGCCCUUCCUGCUAGAGUUGUCGUCGGUUGUGAGAUCUCACGACUCCGCCGGCGUUCAUCUUCGUGAAGGAUAGGUGCACUUUCUUCUUGAUCGGACCACGACCAGCGACUUGUCUUGUCUGGCAUAGGUGGAAGGUAGCGUUGACUUCGGUGAACGUGUUAUAGCCGCUUAUUCGGUAUGAGCAAGGCGUUGGCUGCGAUGUUGGCGCUUGCCCUUCGGGCUCGUACGUUGUCUCUUUCAGGCGUGUCGCCGACUUCACUGCCUUUGGCAGGGGUGUUGGAGACGUGUCGGUUAGCGGCGGCCUCUGCGAUUGGCGUCGAGAGUCUGUGGUUGUGAAGUAGGCAGUCCACCUGACCCGUCUUGAAACACGGACCAAGGAGUCUAACAUGUGCGCGAGUCAUUGGGCAAUACGAAACCUAAAGGCGCAGUGAAAGUGAAGAUCCAUUUUGUUGGAUUGAGGUGGGAUCCUGAGUCACGUGCUCGGGCGCACUACCGGCCCGUUCGACAUGUCUUCAUGCGGGCGGAGCAAGAGCGUACACGUUGGGACCCGAAAGAUGGUGAACUAUGCUUGCGCAGGUCGAAGCCAGAGGAAACUCUGGUGGAGGACCGUAGCGAUU
rnacentral:rRNA from 2 species